rnacentral:rRNA from 1 species
CCCUUCUACGAAGAUUAAAGAUUAAUAAUAAUUGAUAGAUAGAUGGUGGCACAGAAUCGGAGGCCCCGACUGUUUACUAAAAACACAACACAGUGCAAUCAUUAAUAUGGUAGUAUACUGUGUGAAAUUUGCCCAAUGCCAUUAAUAUAAAAGCGGUCAUAGGAAACUGUGACUAAUUGAAAAUCUGGUUAAUAGCGGUCUUAACCAUGAGGAUCCUAAGGUAGCAAAAUAAAUUGGCCAUUAAAUGUGGUCCGGUAUCAAUAAUGUAACGAUGGCCUCACUGUCUCUACAACUUGCUCAGUGAAAUUGAAUUACGCGUGCAGAUGCGCGU